CCCAGCAAACCUCCCUCCUCUCUGAGCACCCACACAGGAGCUGGCUGUGCCACUCAUCACAGCCCCUAAUGUAGCCGGCUCUUCAGCCUUUAUUUCAGAGUGUGGGGAUAGACAGUAGACCUUCUCUUUUUGGUGCAUUGAUUAAAAUUGCUCUGAAUGUAGCAUUGCUUCAGUUUGGUAGCUUGUGUUCAUGGGGGCUGGAGGAUGCAGAACAUGCAAUCAUGAUUCAUUUGGACAUUACUUGGAGGUGGCAGAACUGGCGCCACUGCCCACGUCGAUCAAUGUGGAAGUGUGACACUGUCAAGACUCCGGACUCCGAGGUAGCAGCGCGACAGACUGGAGAGGUGCACGCAGGCAGGCUGGAACGGCUGAGGGAGGAUAAGAGAAGGCAGAGGAGUGACGCUGAAAAGCACCUGGGAGGCGACUGCCCGCCAGAGCCGGCGGCAGGGUCAGCUGGAGAGUAGCCCAAGGGCAAAAGGCUCCUCUGGGUCGGUACUUUGAGCUUAAAAUGACAGUGGCAGGCUAACGCAGAGCUAAGUCAGUCUGGCAGCGCAGGGAAACUCCAUGUCAGAGCACCAGUCUGGCACAGAGCUGAACCUCAAACAGGGUGUUUAAUCAGGGUGGUUGACUACUUAUUGGCGGCCUGUUUGGGGGAAAUUGCCAGACAGGCGGCCUGAUCUCGCUACCCUGGGGCUGGUUUAUGGGUAGGUGCUCAUGGUAAUGUCAUGGUCUCCCUUAGCAACAGCCGGCUGUGAACUCACUAUGUAGAGUGGCACCAAGACUCAGAAAACACACUGCGUCUCACCAUUUCGCUUGCCUUUUGCUAACAAAAUCAACACAUUAAUUAAUUGUGAACUCUAAAAUUAAAUGGCUUUUGGAAAAUUAAGCAAAUCCAAUUUAUAAGAUGAACAUGAAGCUUUAUCUUGUGCAUCUCUUUGUUCCUGGGAUGUUUCUAGGCACUAGUUGUAUUUCUGCCAAAUCUAUACUGCACCUCACUGUUUAUCUACUCCUUAAAAAAUGUAAUCUAAAAAUCAGGAUGGUGUUUCAUUCUGCAAGAGCAUAGAACAAGGCAGCCACAGAGAGCUCAGCUACCUCAUGCUUUCAUCCAAUGAAAUAAUAACACCCUGGUUGUUUUUCAUGAUUGGUUAUCAGUUUAUCUGCCUGUUAGCACCCUGAAACCUUGUAACACCCUUCAGGAAAUUAUAACAGCAAUAUUUUUUUCUCUAAAACUCCUCUUUGUCGACUGGGAACUAAUUUGGCCUUUUUUUUCUUGCUGUGAGGUGCAACCCACACUGCAUGGCUGCUGUGGAACUGUGUUGUUAACAUCACUAUUUCAAAAAUAAAAUCCCCAAAAAGCACACGUAAGAACUUAGUACAUAAAGUGACUGAUUCUUAUAGUCAAGUGACUCUGAAUCUCUAAACUAGAUAUACUGUAAAAAUAAGAGGGAGAAUUCAGGCUUGUUAAGUAAUAAUGGCUGACAAGUGGGAAAACAUUGGUGUUUGAAUAAUCUGGGAUGAGCACAGUAACAGUAAACUGAUACUCAGAUUGACAUCAAUAUUUCAUUGGGGGCACACUCAAUGCUUUUGUGAGUGGAUAGGAUUGCUGAUUGUAGGCUGUAAUAAAAUAUUGAACUCAAGCUAUGCAAUUUCAUAAAAAUGUUAAUUGGUCAAAGUUUAGUAUCUGAGUUGUAUUAAAAUUGCUCAAAAGAGUUUGCUAAUACUCUGUAAAAACAGUCAUUUUAAUGCCUAGCUUGAACAGCUAAGAUUGUUUGACUACUAUAGUAUGAUCAUCGCCUCCUUUCUGCGAGAGAGGAUUUCUGAAGAGUAACAUGUUCUGCUUCAACAAUUCAUGGAUGAGUCUAAAUCAGCCAGGAAAUGUUCUGGAAGGCAGAGGCUUGGCACACUAAGACUACAACAAUGAAAAAAGUAUCUAACAACACAAGAAAGUCAUGUUGAAGGCUAUGUGGCCUGCCUUGCUUGUUUGGUUGCAAGUAUGUAAUUGAUCUAAUUAGAGUUGUUUCUUAAAAUGCACCUGCUUCAACAAUGUGAUUGAGAAGCUUUUUUUAUAAAACGUUCUGCGACUUCAAAACGAAGUGUGUGCCAUUCGCCCUUUUUGGCUUCCCAGAUGGUUAGCGAGCGAAAUGACUGGAAAAUAGUGAAACACGAAAGAAAUAUGAGGUUAGGUAUCAUGGCAACGUACAGAAGAGAGAAAUGAAGUGCUGUACAUGAAAAGCA